GCGAACCAUCGAGUCUUUGAACGCAAGUUGCGCCCGAGGCCACCCGGCCGAGGGCACGCCUGCCUGGGCGUCAC
rnacentral:rRNA from 3 species